rnacentral:rRNA from 1 species
CUUAAAUUGAAGAGUUUGAUCAUGGCUCAGAUUGAACGCUGGCGGCAGGCCUAACACAUGCAAGUCGAGCGGAAACGAGUUAUCUGAACCUUCGGGGGACGAUAACGGCGUCGAGCGGCGGACGGGUGAGUAAUGCCUAGGAAAUUGCCCUGAUGUGGGGGAUAACCAUUGG